AGCUGCAAAGCAAAUGAUAAGAUGCUAAUUAUAACAGCACCCCCAACAUUCGAUAUUAUUCAUCAAACAUUUUAUACAUUUUCGUGUGGAUUUCCAAAAGAAAGCAUUUAUUAGGAAAAGCUGCAUAGCUUUCUGAAGCUUAAUUUCUAUUUUUAUUCAUCCUGAUGGACUAUUAAGUGAACAGAAUAGCUGAGUUUGCUUAAGCUGCCCGAACUGUCACAUUUAACACACUAUUCACAUCCGCCAUUCAGUAUUUUGAGUAGUUUUUCCUUCCUUGUCUUCCUAGACAUUUAUGAUUAAGAUGAUGCAAAGUGCCUAGAAGUACAAAACAGAAAUAAUGGGAUCUGUCAGCCUGGGGACUGCUCUGCUUCUUCAGCAGUCACUGGAACUGGGCAAGUGGGUGCACAUAAGGACUGAUUUCAAACACAUUACCUGCAAAUCCAAUUUCCUAUUCAAAAUUUAAAGACUAUACUCUUUAGUUGAUGGUCGAUUCGCAAUGGAAACAAAUAUUCUUGUUCUAAACUACUUGAAUAUACCAAAAUUAAGAUGAAUCCUCGAUGCAGUCAUGUUCUGUUCAAAUUCUUAAUUUAAUUGUUUAAAAAUGGCUAAGCACAGAAAACUUUUCUAUAAAAAAUAUCUAUUCAGAAAAUAUACUAAAAAAACCACUGCCAUAGUCUAACAUUUAUUAAAUACUUAAUAGGACAAUCUGACAUAGAAACUAACUACAAUAUAAAUAAAUUAAAUAGCUGCCAUCUGGGGAUUACACUAAAAAGUCCAUAAAAUAAAAGGCCAAGAGAGUCACUUAGUGAGUCAAAAUCAAGUGCCAUGUCAAGUGGUGGCUGGCAGCAGGCGAGGCCGAAGAGGAUCAUGUUCACAGUCAAGGCAAAGCAGGGCCUGGCCCAGGAACAAAUGAUGGCUGUGGCUGCUGGACUCAGAAAACAGCCCAAGGGAACUGUAGCUCUUCAAUCAGCUCAGCACGAGGAAAUCUGAAUUCUCAAAAGCAGUAUGUCUCCAUCAACUGUUCCUCGUGUGAACUACUGCAAACGCUAUCAAACACUAUCAAACGCUUGGUACUCAUCGCCACAUUAGCUUAAGUACUCCUGGUAAAAAGGAAUGGUAGGUCUCACUUUGCUCUGCUUUCUGUUUAUCCCCACCACUCCGAAAGCCAUCAUGCUGAAUCUGAGCUGCCACUGUUAUAGUGGAACCUCCAUGAGGUGAUUAUGCCAUGAGAGCUCUUCCUUGAGCUCUACCCCCAAGGCAAGGAUGUACAGUUAUAUAAAUAGGCGGUUUCUCCUCAUUCCUCCCUGCUCUGCCUCCCACGGCUGUACAAGAGAGCACUCUUCACAUGCAGACAUAUUAGCAUCUGGCUGCUCCGUAACUGCAAGCCAGGGCGGCCAUUGUACUUCCCUAAAAGAUAGCCAGAGGUCACCUUAUUGCUGUUUCUUUUCUUGCUUUUCAUUUGUUUAGCCUAAUUUUUUCUUCUUUCCAUACAAUUUAGAUUUAGCCAAAUUCUGCAAAAAUAAUGUAGUGUGAGGAUGACAAAUGUAUACUAAUAUUAUUAAUUUAUAUAUGAUAGCAAUUAUUUCAUAAACAUAUCAGGGAUACAACUAAAUUUCUUGACACAUUAACAUUUUGUUCUAGUAAUCAUGUUAUUCUUCCUGUCUGCAUACAGAGAUAGAACACAGUAUGAUCAUGAAAACUUCAAGUUGCUCAGCUAUGAAGAGGUAAAGUUAGACUGUGACACUGGACCUUCUGACAUCCAUCCCACCAUUUCCAUUACAGCAUAAUGCUCCAGAACUUUCCUCCUUUCAAAAAUGACUCCUUAGUAACUGUUUUAUGAAUAAUCUUAGUAGAAAUUUUGAAAAGCUCAUUAUAAACACACACACACACACAUACACACAUACACACACACACACACACACACACACACACACACACACACAGAGAGAGCAUAUGCAUGUAACAUACAGGAAUCUUCUCUGAACUGAAAUAAUACCUCCUGGAGAACAAAGAGGCUUGUGAGACCUGGGCAGUAAAGCACCCUAAAAACCUGGAAAGCUAAAACUUAAAGGCUUCCCAAAGGCCUCCAGACGGUUAUAAAAGCAGAAUCAAGUGCUGGCAGAAAACGCUGUGGCAAUAGAGCUGUUUGGAGGACACUGUCCAACCUGUCAAGCUGCCUGCAAGUCAUGCAAAGAGCUGGACAUUUGCAGUUGUCAGGCCUGGUCACUUAUGCACAUUGUAGCCUGAGGUCACCUGUGCUUCUGUAAACUAAUCCUUACCCAUACCCUGUAAGUAACCCAGCAAGCACGCUGACUCCCAAGCUAGAUUGUUGUAGAAUCAUUUGGAUCAGGCAUCAGUUCCCUAUCUGAAGUAGGGGGUAGAAGUUUGUUUUCACCUUCCCCCAAAAAGGCUCAUACAAUAGAUUGAGACAAAGUAUGUUUGUGUGCUAGCAUUGUUAUCUUAUUCCGCAUCCUGAUACAUUAUCUCUCUAAACAAGUGAUAAUCAUGGCAGCAAUCCCAUCUCUGACAGGUUCCCUGAGAGGCAGCCCUAAUGAAUAUGUAUGAGGUACCCAGCAAGCACGGCUGGUAACAGAAGCAGCCAUGGUGCCUGCCACAACUAAGAAAGUGCUCCAAGGGAUGACUGGCAUCCUCACGCCCAAAGCCAAGUUUCUGUCUCUUGAGAAGACUGUGCAUGUGAUUUAUAGUUUCAACACUGGCAUCUGUGGUAGAGAUCAAGGCCAUACCAGAGAGAAAAUCCUUCUGAUAAAUAUGGAAUACUUUACAGGGUAUUUAUCACAGCAAGAGGAAAAACAUACUAAGACAAAGCCUUGGAAAUAUUUCUACUUUGAAUAAAGGAUUCGAUGAAAGUCAAAGCAAAUUACAAUUGGUGAGUUCAAAUACAAAACUUUGAGCAAAGUUCAUAUUGGCAAAACAAAGAGAUGCUUUCUCUUCUUUGGGUGUCCUGGGCAACAAUAGGGCCAAUGAACAAAUCUAUCAGAAAGAAAGAAAGAAAGAAAGAAAGAAAAGAAAGAAAGAAAGAAAGAAAGAAAGAAAGAAAGAAAGAAAGAAAGAAGAGAGAGAAAGAAAGAAAAGAAAGAGAGAGAGAGAAAGAAAGAAAGAAGAAAGAAAGAGAGAGAGAAAGAAAGAAAGAAAGA